rnacentral:miRNA from 1 species
GAGGAUCGCUUGAGCACAGGAGGUCGAGGCUGCAGUGAGCUGUGAUCAUGCCACUGCACUCCAGCCUGAGUGACAGAGCAAGAUCCUGUCUCA